rnacentral:rRNA from 1 species
ACCCGCUGAAUUUAAGCAUAUAACUAGGCCGAGGAAAAGAAACUAACCAGGAUUCCCCCAGUAACGGCGAGUGAAGCGGGAGAAGCCCAUGCUGCCAACCGCUCCGGCGGGUUGUGCCAGGCGUGCCUGGUGAGGUCCCGGGGAGAAGUCCUUUGGAACAAGGUAUCAGAGAGGGUGACAAUCCCGUCUGUGCCUCGGGGUCCUCGCGUGAAGGCCGUGCUAAUGGAGUCGAGUUGCUUGGGAUUGCAGCUCAAAGUCGGUGGUAAAUUCCAUCGAAGGCUAAAUACGGGUGGGAGACCGAUAGCGAACAAGUACUGUGAAGGAAAGAUGAAAAGAACUUUGAAAAGAGAGUUAAAGAGUGCCUGAAAUUGCUGAGAGGGAACCGAAGGUGAUCAGUGGGGGCCGCUGCCAUUUUUCGUGUUCCGACCUCGGAGCACGCCCUGUGGCAGGGGCCCGCUCCGCGCCGUCGCGUCCGGCCGUAAGCUUGGGGCCGGGGGUGGUGGGGCGGAGGAAAUGGUCCUCUUUACCCCGUCUUGAAACACGGACCAAGG